rnacentral:rRNA from 1 species
AUUGAACGCUGGCGGCAUGCCUUACACAUGCAAGUCGAACGGUAACAGGUCUUCGGAUGCUGACGAGUGGCGAACGGGUGAGUAAUACAUCGGAACGUGCCUAGUAGUGGGGGAUAACUACUCGAAAGAGUGGCUAAUACCGCAUGAGGUCUACGGAUGAAAGCAGGGGAUCGCAAGACCUUGUGCUACUAGAGCGGCCGAUGGCAGAUUAGGUAGUUGGUGGGAUAAAAGCUUACCAAGCCGACGAGCUGUAGCUGGGCGGACGGGACGAUCAGCCACACUGGGGAUGAGACACGGCCCAGGCGCCUACGGGAGGCAGCAGUGGGGAAUUUUGGACAAUGGGCGCAAGCCUGAUCCAGCAAUGCCGCGUGCAGGAUGAAGGCCUUCGGGUUGUAAACUGCUGUUGUACGGAACGAAAAGCCCUGGGUUAAUACCCUGGGGUCAUGACGGUACCGUAAGAAUAAGCACCGGCUAACUACGUGCCAGCCGCCGCAGUAAUAC